CCUGGCCUUAGAAUUCUUGCAGGAGUUGCUCCUGUGUCACAUGUAUGGUAGGUAGCAGAGAGGAGAAAGGCUAGGUCUAGGCUUAGUGUUAAGACUAAUGAACACCUGAAUGAUUAGUGACCUAAUACU